AUCCCUUCAUUCUCACAACUAAAAGCCAUCUCAACAAUGGCACAUGUCCAUUCGGAGUAGGGGUGGAGGGUCUAAAUACCGCGCUGGAGAAUACCAUGCUGGAGGGAAAGCAUGUACCUUUUCUGAAUCCAAGGCACACAAAUAGUGUGAAAUUUGGCAUAAAAAACAAAAAAAGGUUGAAUGUGGUUUUCUCCCCAAAGGAUAAUUUCUGUGUUUCGCAAAGCUGUUAGUGAUUAUGAUUAUUUCAAAAUCAAAAAUGAAAAUAAGAAAGCCUUGUUCUUUCUGUAUUAGCUCCUAGAGGAUUGUGGCCUCGUGUGCAAGUACCUCAUGCUAUCCUUCAAAUAACCCUAAAAGAGGUUUAUAAAGUGGAGAAGAAGAGGUUGACAGCUUAUUGGGAAACUCAUCUAGGAAAUACUCAUGCUCCCAUUCUUGUCACUUAGCGUCCUUAGCUGGAAGCACACAGAAAUGGGAGUUAGGAUCAAUUAUAAAUCCUGAUUCUCCAUCUCUACUGUGAUUUAUACAAGCUCCCGAAUCUACUCAUCAAGAAGAGCCGCUGUUACCUCUGACCUGUUACUUCCUGAGUGAGCAAUCAUUCAGUGAGUCAGCAGAAUCUUACAUUGGGAAACAAGAAAAGGGGAAGGAAGGAAAGAUGAAACCUGCAAGGCCCUGCUGCCCCCUCCUGCCCUGUCAAGAAGGGAGGAGAACUUUAUGCCACCAUGGCCUUCUCUUGACCCAGAAGGCACCAACUGUAACCUGGACACCUGGCUGCCUGCAACUGGAAAGCUUUUGUAAGGUGGGGGUGGGUUACGACAUGGAUAUAAGUAGGUGGUCACUAUUUAAAUAACUAAAACUAUUGCUAAUGGCAUGAAUAGUAUUACAGAAUGCCUCUGUUUCCCUCUCCUCCCCCCACCCCCCAGCAGCUCUGGAAGAUUCUCAGCUUUGAACAACCCGCGAGUUUGCUGAAGCAUGACUGAAUUAUUUUCAAGGCUAGUGUGAGCAAAACAACCUAAUUUAAAGCUGGGAUCUAUAUGAAAAGUGUCUCUGUUAAGGAUUGGAAAGACGGCUCAGUGAUUGAAGACUGUGGCUCUGUUCUCUCUCCUACUAGCCUGUGAGUCCUGCCUUCAUGGAAAGAUUUGAUCAGUCAGAAGAAGCUUCAGAUGCAAAAGUGUUUGUUCAUACUGAGUGGCCCCCAUAGCCCAUAGGAGGCUGCACCGAUGGUGGGUCCCCAAGAGGCGCAGCUAAGCUUCCGUGUCCAGGCUCCUGCAUCUACCAAGGCCAGGUCUUAAAAUGCAGCUGCUCUCAUUAUUGCCUGAACUUGCCUGAUGGAUUUCUGUUCAUUGGCUGGAAGAUGAUGCAUCAGCGUACUGCAUACGAUGAUGGAGUACAGAAGUGAGUCUGCUGGAUUGACUGGGGGUUGGUUGGGUGAGAAACACGUGAGUAUGGAGAGGGGGUAGCUUAAGUGACCUCCCAGUGGCUUGCUAUAUCUUGAUUUUUAUCUUACAAAGGACUACUGCAGUCCUGUUCUGUAGUCUCACAAUAAAUUACCCGUUCCUA